CAGAUUCCUACGGGAGGCAGCAGUGGGGAAUAUUGCACAAUGGGCGCAAGCCUGAUGCAGCGACGCCGCGUGGGGGAUGACGGCCUUCGGGUUGUAAACUCCUUUCGCUAGGGACGAAGCUUUUGUGACGGUACCUAGAUAAGAAGCACCGGCUAACUACGUGCCAGCAGCCGCGGUAAUACGUAGGGUGCGAGCGUUGUCCGGAAUUACUGGGCGUAAAGGGCUCGUAGGUGGUUUGUCGCGUCGUCUGUGAAAUUCCGGGGCUUAACUCCGGGCGUGCAGGCGAUACGGGCAUAACUUGAGUACUGUAGGGGUAACUGGAAUUCCUGGUGUAGCGGUGAAAUGCGCAGAUAUCAGGAGGAACACCGAUGGCGAAGGCAGGUUACUGGGCAGUUACUGACGCUGAGGAGCGAAAGCAUGGGUAGCGAACAGGAUUAGAUACCCUGGUAGUCCAUGCCGUAAACGGUGGGCGCUAGGUGUGAGGGUCUUUUCAUGACUUUCGUGCCGUAGCUAACGCAUUAAGCGCCCCGCCUGGGGAGUACGGCCGCAAGGCUAAAACUCAAAGGAAUUGACGGGGGCCCGCACAAGCGGCGGAGCAUGUGGAUUAAUUCGAUGCAACGCGAAGAACCUUACCUGGGCUUGACAUACACCGGA
rnacentral:rRNA from 1 species